rnacentral:lncRNA from 1 species
UUCUUGGGAGGGUAUUCGUCAGCCUGCGUCUUCUUAAGAUAAGUUCUUCAUUUUAAAUCCAUGUUCCUUUCUACUCUUAUUCUAUUUGCAAUUAUUGAUAUUUGUUUGGAUGAUUGGAGUGGCCAUCAAAGACCACAAGAUGCUGUUGAUUUUGGGUUCUUCAUGGAUUGCUUGCAGUUUCUGGACCCAUAACCAGCGCACAACUCGCCCCUGAAGAAUCUGGGAAGGGAAAAUCCAUAAAGAUAAGCGUCCAUAGGAUUGGCAACUGCAAACCCAUCGAUAGAUAUGGGAUUCGAAGCCAAUCUGGGAAUUUCUCAGCAUCAUUUUAUGAAUACUUGAAUUUCUAUUGCGAAUUGGAGCUGUUCCGGUUUUCAAGAGUGGUUUCUUUCGUGUUUGGGUUGACUGCAGUUUAGUUUGCCUUGGGGAUUGCGUGGAUCAAUCUGAUUCGCUCCAUCACUGAUCAAGAAUGGGUGGCUUCUAUAUUAACAGUGUCAGAUUGAUUCCUUCUCCAAGAAUUGCA